rnacentral:rRNA from 1 species
UACGGAGGGUGCAAGCGUUAUCCGGAUUCACUGGGCGUAAAGCGCACGUAGGCGGCUUUCUAAGUCAGGGGUGAAAUCCUGGAGCUCAACUCCAGAACUGCCUUUGAUACUGGAGAGCUUGAGUCCGGGAGAGGUGAGUGGAACUCCGAGUGUAGAGGUGAAAUUCGUGAGAUAUUCGGAAGAACACCAGUGGCGAAGGGCGGCAUUCUGGACCGAUAUUGACGCUGAGGAGGCGAAAGCCAGGGGAGCAAACGGG